rnacentral:tRNA from 3 species
UAGACAGAAGCCUGCUGGCUUAGGCAUCUAGCUGUUAAUUAGAGUGUUAUGGGAUCAAGGCCCAUCUGUCUAG